CUUCUCUCCAAAGGGAAGCUCUGGACCAGCUUCCGUUGCUCAUCUCUGCUGAGCUCCCUGAGUUGAAAAGCCUGUAUCUGUGCAGGUUAAAGGGAGAACAGUUGUUGUUGCUGCUGUGACAGGUUAAAGGUGAGGUAAAAAAUGAUUUUCAGAAGUAUGAAUGUUAUAAGAAACGAAAGCUAUUUGGUAACUGUGAGUCUUUUCCUGUCAUACCUGGUGGAGAGUGAGGAAGAGACUGGAAAACCUUGCCUUUGUUUCAUUCAACUACGCAGUGAAAGAAGCUACCUUUUUACAGAGAGGAAAUUCUUAGGAGCAAGCUAACAUCCCUUCUUGCAAUCAACUUGCAGGGUAAUUUUAGGUCUUCUACUGCUCUGUACCUCAGUGAUCUGAUGGUCUGUACCAUCUUUGUUUAACAAGCUUAUAUUACUACAUACUACGUAGCUUCUAAUAUUGAAUAAGAGUAUGUGUUCCUGGGGCGCCUGGGUGGCUCAGUCGUUAAGCGUCUGCCUUCGGCUCAGGUCCUGGUCCCAGGGUCCUGGGAUCGAGCCCCGCGUCGGGCUCCCCGCUCCACGGGAAGCCUGCUUCUCCCUCUCCCACUCCCCCUGCUUGUGUUCCCUCUCUUGCUGUA